rnacentral:pre_miRNA from 1 species
CACAUAUCUUGAAAGUGAGAUUUGGAGGAACUCAAAACCUUUUUGUAAUAUCUGCUUUGGUUUCCUCCAAUAUCUUACCUUCAAUGGUUUGUG